AAGUCCGCAACGAGCGCAACCCCUACGUUUACGUUGCUAACGCGUGAAGGCGAGCACUCUAGACGAACUGCCGUUGACAAAACGGAGGAAGGUGGGGAUGACGUCAAAUCAUCAUGCCCUUAUGUUCUGGGCUACACACGUGCUACAAUGGCCGGUACAGACGGACGCAAAGCCGCGAGGUGGAGCAAAUCCUAAAAAGCCGGUCUCAGUUCGGAUUGCAGGCUGCAAUUCGCCUGCAUGAAGUCGGAAUCGCUAGUAAUCGCAGGUCAGCAUACUGCGGUGAAUACGUUCCCGGGCCUU
rnacentral:rRNA from 1 species